AGUUAAAGAGCUCGUAGUUGGAUUUCUGGUGGGAGCGGUCGGUGCGGUCCUCAGGAUUGCUACUCGUACCGUCUCUCGCCAUCCUUGGGUCGAUCCUGUCUGGCAUUAAGUUGUCGGGCAGGGGAUGCCCAUCGUUUACUGUGAAAAAAUUAGAGUGUUCAAAGCAGGCUUAUGCCGUUGAAUAUAUUAGCAUGGAAUAAUAAGAUAGGACUUUGGUACUAUUUUGUUGGUUUGCGCACCAAAGUAAUGAUUAAUAGGGACAGUUGGGGGUAUUCGUAUUCCGUUGUCAGAGGUGAAAUUCUUGGAUUUCCGGAAGACGAACUACUGCGAAAGCAUUUACCAAGGAUGUUUUCAUUAAUCAAGAACGAAAGUUAGGGGAUCGAAGAUGAUUAGAUACCAUCGUAGUCUUAACCAUAAACUAUGCCGACUCGGGAUUGGCGGUCGUUAAUUUUGACCCCGUCAGCACCGUAUGUGAAAACAAAGUCUUUGGGUUCCGGGGGGAGUAUGGUCGCAAGGCU
rnacentral:rRNA from 1 species